ACUUCCUGACGGCGUGCCUUUUGUAGGAUGAGCCUGUGAGUUACGAUAGCGAGCGAGGUUAAGGCAUGGGAGUGCCGGAGCCGGAGGGAAACCGAGUCUUAAUAGGGCGAGUUAGUUCGUUAUCGUAGACCCGAAGCCAGGUGAUCUUAUUACGGCCAGGCUGAAGCUCAGGUAACACUGAGUGGAGGGCCGAACUCUAGUGUGAUGAAAGACGCAGGGAUGAGCUGUGAUAAGGGGUGAAAGGCUAAACAAACCUGGAAAUAGCUGGCACUCCCCGAAAUGCCUUGAGGGACAGCCUCAUACGCCUAUCAUGGAGGUAGAGCACUGUUUGGACUAGGGGUCUUCACCGGCUACCAAACCCAGGCAAACUGCGAAUGCCGUGACAGAAGGUAUGGGAGUGAGACGGCGGGCGAUAAAGUUCGUCGUCGAGAGGGGAACAGCCCGGACCGACAGCUAAGGUCCCUAAAUGCCGCUGAGUGUGAAAUGAGGUGCUAUUGCGAAGACAGCCAGGAGGUUGGCUUAGAAGCAGCAAUUCCUUAAAAGAGUGCGUAACAGCUCACUGGUCGAGCAAUGGUGCGCAGAAAAUGUAACGGGGCUAAGCGGUAUACCGAAGCUUCGGAUUCUAUGUAUAAAGCAUAGGAUGGUAGGGGAGCAUUCCAUGGACCGCAGAAGGUACACUGAGAGGUGUGCUGGAGGGGAUGGAAGAGAGAAUGCAGGUAUAAGUACACGAAAAGACGGGUGAGAUUCCCGUCCGCCGAAAACCUAAGGUUUCCUGGGUAAAGGUCAUCUGCCCAGGGUUAGUCGGUCUCUAAGAUGAGGCGGAAGCGCGUAGUCGAUGAGAAUUCGGUUCAUAUUCCGGAACCAUAUAUAAGUUCGAAGGGAUGACGCAUGAGGUGGAGCACUGCCGGCUGACGGAAUAGCCGGUUUACUUAGCGAGCCUAUGAGGUAGCGAGGGAAAACCAGCUACUGAGGUGAGCUAAGGAGGGAGAGAAGCUACGGUGGAACGAAGAGUGUCGAAUCAAGGUGCCAAGAAAGAGUCUCUAAGGACAACUUAUAUAUGACCGUACCGUAAACGGACACACGUAGGUAGGAUGAGAAAUCUAAGGCGCUCGAGAUAACUCGCGUUAAGGAACUCGGCAAAGUGCACACGUAACUUCGGGAGAAGUGUGGCCUGAGCGAUCAGGUUGCAGAUAAUAGGCCCAGGCGACUGUUUACCAAAAACACAGGCUCUGCGAACGCGCAAGCGGAAGUAUAGGGUCUGACGCCUGCCCGGUGCUGGAAGGUUAAGAGGAGGGGUUAGCGGGAAACUGCGAAGCUCUGAAUUGAAGCCCCAGUAAACGGCGGCCGUAACUAUAACGGUCCUAAGGUAGCGAAAUUCCUUGUCU
rnacentral:rRNA from 1 species